rnacentral:rRNA from 1 species
GACGAACGCUGGCGGCGUGGAUUAGGCAUGCAAGUCGGACGGUAGAGCUUUAUCGUAAGAUAGAGUUUGAGAGUGGCGAACGGGUGAGUAACACGUAGGAAUCUACCCUUAAGACGGGGACAACCCAGGGAAACUUGGGCUAAUACCGGAUGAGAGUGCGAGAGAUUGCAUUUAAAAGGAUGGCGAAAGUUGUCGCUUAGGGAUGAGCCUGCGUCCUAUUAGUUAGUUGGUGAGGUAACGGCCCACCUAGGCAAUGAUAGGUAGGCGGCCUUAACGGGUGGUCGCCCACACUGGGAUUGAGAUACGGCCCAGACUCCUACGGGAGGCAGCAGUCGAGAAUAGUCUACAAUGGUCGGAAGACUGAUAGUGCGACGCCGCGUGAACGAUGAAUCCCUUCGGGGUGUAAAGUUCUUUUAUAUGUGAGCAGUGCUUCUUAUAUUAACAGUAUGGGGAGAGAGAUAUUAGCAUAUGAAUAAGCAACGGCUAACUCCGUGCCAGCAGCCG